rnacentral:rRNA from 1 species
CCUACGGGAGGCAGCAGUAGGGAAUCUUCCGCAAUGGACGAAAGUCUGACGGAGCAACGCCGCGUGAGUGACGAAGGUUUUCGGAUCGUAAAACUCUGUUGUGAGGGGAGAACAAGUACCAACUAACUACUGGUACCUUGACGGUACCUCACCAGAAAGCCACGGCUAACUACGUGCCAGCAGCCGCGGUAAUACGUAGGUGGCAAGCGUUGUCCGGAAUUAUUGGGCGUAAAGCGCGCGCAGGCGGCCUCUUAAGUCUGAUGUGAAAGCCCCCGGCUCAACCGGGGAGGGCCAUUGGAAACUGGGAGGCUUGAGUAUAGGAGAGAAGAGUGGAAUUCCACGUGUAGCGGUGAAAUGCGUAGAGAUGUGGAGGAACACCAGUGGCGAAGGCGACUCUUUGGCCUAUAACUGACGCUGAGGCGCGAAAGCGUGGGGAGCAAACAGGAUUAGAUACCCUGGUAGUCCACGCCGUAAACGAUGAGUGCUAGGUGUUGGAGGGUUUCCGCCCUUCAGUGCUGAAGCUAACGCAUUAAGAAUCCCGCGGCCAUGGCGGCCGGGAGCAUGCGACGUCGGGCCCAAUUCGCCCUA